UACGGGGGGGGCAAGCGUUGUUCGGAAUUACUGGGCGUAAAGGGUUUGUAGGUGGCUUGCUAAGUCAGACGUGAAAUCCCUCAGCUUAACUGGGGAACUGCGUCUGAGACUGGCAAGCUUGAGUGCAGGAGAGGAACGCGGAAUUCCAGGUGUAGCGGUGAAAUGCGUAGAUAUCUGGAGGAACACCGGUGGCGAAGGCGGCGUUCUGGACUGUAACUGACACUGAAAAACGAAAGCCAGGGGAGCAAACGGG
rnacentral:rRNA from 1 species